rnacentral:lncRNA from 1 species
GUUUCAACAGACCCCAGCAAGGUUGAGAGCAUCACCAACAUGGCGAGCACUGAUCUCAUGGAGCCUGAUGGCGUGACUCCGUCCCCGAAGCGCAUACGGUCCUUCUUAGGGAUGGUAAAUUACUAUCAACACUUCAUGCCCGGUUACUCUGCAAUGGCCAAGCCGCUGUUUGACCUGUUGAAAGGUGCGAAGAGAAGAGGUAAACAACACAAAAACAAACUGUCGAGCAGGAAGCUGUAUGCGGCUGAUUGGACACCGGAGCAGGGACAGGCUUUUGAAAGUCUGAAAGCUUCACUGGUCCAUAGUGUUGUCUUGGCUCACCCCGAUUUCAAUCGUCCCUUUAUGCUGUCAACUGAUGCGUCCUUGGAUGGCAUAGGUGCGGUUCUGUCCCAAAUUCAGGAGGGUGAGGCACGAGCCAGGCCCAUUGCUUUUGCCGGCAAGUCGUUAUCUCGGUCCCAAAAGAACUACCCAGCUCAUCGGUUGGAGUUUCUAGCCUUGAAAUGGUCAGUCUGCGAAAAGUUCAGUCACUGGCUGAAAGGCCACAAAUUCACUGUCUGGACAGAUAACAACCCGUUGACUCACAUCCUGACAAAGCCGAAGCUAGAUUGUUGUGAGCAACGCUGGGUUGCCAAGUUGGCGAGUUACGACUUUGAUAUCAAGUAUGUUCCGGGCCCACAGAACAUUGUGGCUGAUGCCCUGAGCCGUGUGCCGUUUGUCAAGGCAAGUGUUGGUCACAGGCUGCUCACUGAACCCUAUGCGGGUCUCCUCACAGAAGUCAAAGACAUGUCGAGGUUCUCUGUCCAAAAUGCCUUUCGGUCAUCCAGUCAUGACAGAGAGCCCUCCCCUUUGAGUAACAAUGUCCAGUCUGCAUGCAGUCCACUGCGCAUGCAAACUCAGUCUGUUGCAAAGGAGGACGUGUCCGCUGUACUACAGUCACACAUUGAGUGGGAUGCUGGUCCGAGGGCCCGUGCUGUUGAGAUGUUGCAGCACUUACCUCAGUUGGUUCCGCCUGGACAAGACGCCUUACCUGCUUACACUGUGAAGGACCUCUGUGAUAAGCAGUUGGAAGAUAGAACCCUCUCUUGUGUUCUGUCCUAUGUUGAGAGACAUCGGAGGCCUUCUAGAAGGGAACGAUUCAAUGAGUCUGUCCUGGUCACAAGAUACCUGAAGCACUGGGAUAGGCUGACUGUGAAGGAGGGUGUACUGUACAGGAUUUCAAGAGACCAGAAGACCAAAGAAAAGCGUUUUCAAUACGUUGUCCCUGACUCCCUGAAGACUGAGGUUCUGCAGGGGAUUCACGAUAGGGCCGGGCAUCAAGCUCAGUCCAGGAGCCUCAGUUUGGCAAGACAAAGGUUUUUCUGGCCAAACCUCGACAGGGAUGUAAGAGACUAUGUUCGUCAUUGUCAGCGAUGCAUCGUUAGCAA